rnacentral:rRNA from 1 species
UAUCGGUAUGGGAUGGGGUCGCGUCCUAUCAGCUUGAUGGCGGGGUAACGGCCCACCAUGGCUUCGACGGGUAGCCGGCCUGAGAGGGCGACCGGCCACAUUGGGACUGAGAUACGGCCCAGACUCCUACGGGAGGCAGCAGUGGGGAAUAUUGCACAAUGGGCGCAAGCCUGAUGCAGCGACGCCGCGUGCGGGAUGACGGCCUUCGGGUUGUAAACCGCUUUUGACUGGGAGCAAGCCCUUCGGGGUGAGUGUACCUUUCGAAUAAGCACCGGCUAACUACGUGCCAGCAGCCGCGGUAAUACGUAGGGUGCAAGCGUUAUCCGGAAUUAUUGGGCGUAAAGGGCUCGUAGGCGGUUCGUCGCGUCCGGUGUGAAGGUCCAUCGCUUAACGGUGGAUCCGCGCCGGGUACGGGCGGG